GACGAACGCUGGCGGCGUGCUUAACACAUGCAAGUCGAACGGAAAGGCCCUGCUUGCAGGGUGCUCGAGUGGCGAACGGGUGAGUAACACGUGGGUGAUCCGCCCCUUACUUUGGGAUAAGCCUGGGAAACUGGGUCUAAUACUGGAUAGGACCAUGCUGUAGGUGGUGUGGUGGAAAGAUUAGUUUCGGUAAGGGAUGAGCUCGCGGCCUAUCAGCUUGUUGGUGGGGUAAUGGCCUACCAAGGCGUCGACGGGUAGCCGGCCUGAGAGGGUGGACGGCCACGUUGGGACUGAGAUGCGGCGCAGACGCCUACGGGAGGCAGCAGUGGGGAAUAUUGCGCAAUGGGCGCAAGCCUGAUGCAGCGACGCCGCGUGGGGGAUGACGGCCUUCGGGUUGUAAACUCCUUUCAGCCAUGACGAAGCCCUUGUGGUGACGGUAGUGGUAGAAGAAGCACCGGCUAACUACGUG
rnacentral:rRNA from 1 species